AUGGGGGCGAGAGGGGAGAAAAGCGGACGGAGCAACCGCGCCCUCUCUCAUCUGCGCCCACUCAGGGCACGGAGGACAGACGGGCCCGCAUGGCUGGCUCCACACACCAGCCCGGGUCUGGUCUGGGCCACGAGCGCACGACUGGGAACUGGCCCAUCCAGGACACUGGGUCAGAUUCUCCUGGUGGCCCGCCGCACUACAAGGCAGACAACUCCCCAGCUGCCUGGGGGCACGGCCCGGGUCCAGAACACGCUCGUGCCAGCGUCAGAGGGCACAUCGAGGACUGGUCCUCAGGCAGCGGCCACGCCUCCUGGACGCUGUCCCGGGAGCUCGGAGACCAGCCAACGCCAAGAGGAAGGCAAGGACGUCUCAGGAGAGGCAGAGGCACAGAGCACCACCCUCGCGGAGCCCAGCGUGCCCGCGCCUAAGUCCGCUGCGCACACUGGGCCACCAGGGGCAGUGGGGCACUCCACGCCGGGUCCCAUGAGGCUUCUGCACUCGCAGCCUCCGUGGCCACGCCAGGCAUGCGGGCUGGGAGUGCUGCACCAGACCCCCGGGGUGGGUCAUGGCGGGAGCAGACGUGGGGGGCGGGGAAGCCUACGCCCCUCCCGCACGGGUCAGCAGACCACCACGCAGAGAAACGGACAACCUGAGGACAGGCCCAGGCAGCGUGCAGCCAACCAGAGCACCCGGGAGGACACACGGCCCCGUCUCGGAGCGCCUGACUCGCACCGCGGCCCCUCUCUCCCCAGGGAGCACAUCCUUCCCGGGCAGAGCCCCGAGGACGUCCCCGCAGCUCCAGAGCACAGGCCAGCGUUUCGGGACAAGGAAUCGCAUGGCGACACCUUCCCGGUCCCGGAGGCAAUAGGAAAGCCCGUUCUCGCUCAAGGAGCCCCGGCAACCCAGCGGGCUCCCAGGGGCAGAGGACACAAGGCACACGGGCCCCUACCGUGGUCGUGGUCGUGGUCGUGGUCGUGGUCGUGGUCGCCUCAGCCUCCUCACGUCCGGAACAAGUUCCCGGGUGCCGCAGGUUCCCGGGUGCCGGGCUCGGCGUCUGCGGAAGAAGAAGAGACAUCACGCACUUGGCCCGAGUGA
rnacentral:lncRNA from 1 species